ACGACUUAGUGUAUUGAGCAUAAUAAUUUAUACAGUUAGAACUCCAACCAUUUCUACAAGUUCAUAUUAUUAUAGACUAAACAUUCCAACAAUUCCCAAACGAGAGAGGUCUUUUUAAAACUUCUACACGAUAUAUCAUUUCAAAUUUGUCAGCAACAUUUUAUUACAUACAAAAUACAUUUAUACAACAAUAACAUCACAACCAACAAAGACUUGCCCAUAAUCUAAAUAGAUUUCCAUUGCCUCAGCUCAAUUAUAACAUUUCAGUGAGUGAUAAACUAACAUGAAAAAGGGUUAUAUAGCAACGGAGUGAGCUACAAAGCUCAGCAAGUGGGAAACAUAUCCAGAAUAAGAAAUGGUAGUUUCAAACAAACUUGGUAUCAAAAUACAAGUCAGUGAUACAAGAAUUCAUGGAUAUUAACUCAUUAGAUACAGAAUCACAAAUGUCAUUUCAUUCAAAACAUAUUUGAUUCAUAACAAAUGGAGUAAAGAAUAAUUGGAGCAUAUCAAUAACGUAAGAAGUGUUUCAAAGUAUAUCAACGGCCUAUGAAACAUUACGAAGCAUAUCAAUGACAUAUGGAAUGUUUUGGAGCAUAUAAAAGAAUAUGAAACAUUUCGGAGCAUAUCAAUGGCGUAUAAACACAGAGGGUGCAGUCGGAUCUUGAAUAAAAUAUAGUCCAUCUAUUUCUGGAUGACCACCUAACAGAAGUCUCCUACGUUUGGGAGCUCAAUCGACCCACGUCUGGGUGAAGUUAGAAGGGGCCGGCAAUGCAUCACGGGCUCUAAGCAGGUACCCUUUACCAUUUCUAACAAAGGUCCAGACAAUCCCAUAGCCACCAGAGUACAAAAGGAUAUGUGAACAAUAAAACUCGUAUAUAUCGGAAAGCACAUGUGAAACAACGAAAUAUGCAUGUGCUUGUACGAAACAAUAUAAUUUAAACAUAAACGUUACAUUACAGAUUUAUAUAUACAAAUUAUUUCGGGAUAAGAGCGUAUAGGAUUUCGAAAUAAUAAUGUGCAGCUCAAUAGAAGUAAGGAUUUCAGCUAAAAUAUACAUCGUAUGCCAUUGGUGCAUCAAUGUGGUGAUAAUUGUAGGUUAAUCGUGAUAAAUCACAUUUGUUCGAGGCGGCUCCUAAGGCAUAUAUUGGUGAAUGUUAGAGCUUCUACUUUCGCUACUGAUCUGCUGCUUUGUAUCAUACUGUUGCUCGGAGAAGUAUGACCAACUAUCACCGUACUAGUGAUUUAAAAAGCGCUAGGCGUCAAAAGACGCCAAGGUCCAAAAACGCCUGAGAUGCUAGGCGCUCGCCCGAGCGAUGCGAGGCG
rnacentral:lncRNA from 1 species